GUCACUGUGCACUGAAUAGACAUGUGUUGGCUCAAAGCUUCAUUCAUCUUCUUUCUUCUAUGUUCUUUCUGUUACUGUGAAAUUUCACAGACACCCAAACUAGAAUGCCCAUCAGAAGAAGACUGUAGCCUUACCUGUGGCCAUGAGAUUUUCACAAAAAAUUACUAUACCUAUUGGUACAGAAUGGUUCCUGGCCAGAGACUAGAUUUCUUAAUCAAACAUUUUGAGAGCACUGACGAAGAAAAAGGUACUUUCUGUUACUGUGAAAUUUCACAGACACCUAAACUAGAAUGCCCAGCAGAAGAAGACUGUAGCCUUACCUGUGGCCAUGAGUUUUUCACUACAAGUUACUACACCCAUUGGUACAGAAUGGUUCCUGGCCAGAGACUAGAUUUCUUAAUCAAAGACUUCAAGAGCACUGACCAAGAAAAAGACAAGUACAAGCUAAUCUUCAGCAAGGACAGAAAGUCCAGCGUUCUCUACAUAAAGAACGUAAAUCCAGAUGACAGCGCUGUGUAUCUCUGUGCUCAGGGUGACACAGAAGUAUAGACAGAUUUCCUGCCUGUACAAUAUGUCACCAGCACAAUAUAGUACAAUAUGUAACUGUGUAAAGUGCGACAUGACUGAAGUAGCUCUCAAUUGUUUAUGUAACACAGUUACAUGUGCAUUGUUUUAAUACAGUGUA